UACGAAGGGGGCUAGCGUUGCUCGGAAUCACUGGGCGUAAAGCGCACGUAGGCGGGUUGUUAAGUCGGGGGUGAAAUCCUGGAGCUCAACUCCAGAACUGCCUUCGAUACUGCCGUGCUUGAGGACUGGAGAGGAGACUGGAAUUUACGGUGUAGCGGUGAAAUGCGUAGAUAUCGUAAGGAAGACCAGUGGCGAAGGCGGGUCUCUGGACAGUUCCUGACGCUGAGGCACGAAGGCCAGGGGAGCAAACGGG
rnacentral:rRNA from 1 species